rnacentral:rRNA from 1 species
GACGAACGCUGGCGGCGUGCUUAACACAUGCAAGUCGAACGGAAAGGCCCGGCUCUUGUUCGUUGCUCGAGUGGCGAAGGGGGGAGUAACACACGAGUAACCCGUCCCUGUCAUUGUGAUAUCAUCAGGAAACUGGGGCGCAUAUCGGAUAGGAUCUCCUGCUGCACGGUGGGCGUUGGUAAGUUUCGGCGGUUGGGGAUGGACUCGCGGCAUAUGCGCUUCUUGGUGGGGUAGGGGCUUACGAAGGCUUCGACGGGCAGCCGGCCUGAGAGGGUUACCGGCGACAUGGGGACUGAGGUAGGGCGCAGACUCCUACGGGAGGCAACAGGCGAGAGUAUUACACAAUAGGCGGAAGCCUGAGGCAGCAACGCCGCGUUCGGGAUGACGGCCUUCGGGGUAUAAACAACUGUCGACUGUAACGAAGCGUGAGUGACGGUACUGAGUAAAGAAGCACCGGCUAACUACGUG